rnacentral:rRNA from 1 species
UACGUAGGGACCGAGCGUUGUCCGGAAUCAUUGGGCGUAAAGAGCGUGUAGGCGGUUUGGUAGGUCCGCUGUGAAAACUCGAGGCUCAACCUCGAGACGCCGGUGGAAACCAUCAGGCUAGAGUCCGGAAGAGGAGAGUGGAAUUCCUGGUGUAGCGGUGAAAUGCGCAGAUAUCAGGAAGAACACCCGUGGCUAAGGCGGCUCUCUAGUACGGUACUGACGCUGAGACGCGAAAGCGUGGGGAGCGAACAGG